GCCAUUUGCCUGUUUGGAUUUUGAACCAACACUUAAGCUCCAAGAAAUUUAAAGUAACAGGCUAUAUACUCACCUCGGAAGAUCUGGAGCAGGAACCACGGCUGAGAGAGAACAUGCAGGAAACAGGGAUUCUCUGUAUAGCCCUGCUGUCCUGGAACUCAUGCUGCAGAUGAGGCUGACCCUUGAAGUGAGAGAGCUGCUUGCCCCUGCCUUCUUACUGCUGAGAUUAAAGGUCUGUGUAUCAUUUUUGAGAUAAACUCAGUGUAAACUAUAAGGCAAAGACAUGUUCGAAUUUAAUCUACAUAUAACACCCAGCAUGGAGAGAAUCAGAAACCAAGAGCAUGGUGUACUCAGUCUAACCCACAGGUUAUGCAGGAGGCAGGGCUGACACAGCGACCUCCUCAUGUGGAAUCACCCGGAACCAUUUCUGUUCCAGCUCUUCUGUUUUUUGGCAAGUGCAUCAGAACAUCCUCUAUCCUGUGUCUGCCUCAGCGAAACAUUUCCUCAUGAGUCGGCCUUAGCCUUUCACACCUGUGUCCACUUCAACCAAACAUUCUUUCACGUGUUUGCCUCCGCAAAACACCAUCCAACUGACUUUCCAAAGAACCCACAAGUUUCUCCUUCAAAGAGUUCCAAGAAUGAGCAGAUAUUCAAGUACCUGCAAGAAUACCCUAGAGCCUCCGACAAGGACCGACUGCAGCAAAACUACAGGUUAGAAAGGUCUUGGUUUAGUUCAAAGUUCAGUGCAUGUAGAGGCUAUCUAGCAGUGGAGGGUAUCCAAUGAAAUAUAGGGAAGUUGGCAAGAGUCAGACUGUAUAGAGCCAGAUGAAAAGCUACUUGACCAGAGUAAGGAAUUGGCUAGCUGCUUGAUUCUAACACCAGAUUAGAGAUAGUGUCUGAAAAGCAAAUUAGGAAAAGUGAAGCAGACCACUGCUGCCAGAUUGUGUUGUUCAAAGAAACUUUGGAAGAGCUAAAGAUUAAGAGAUAGCCCCAGGGCAAAGCAUGCAACCUGGGAAUUUGUGGUCAUACCAGGAAGGAUUUUCUCUCUGGGCAAUGAAAUAGUGCAGCACGGGGCAGGGAAAUAUGGCAGUGAGUCACCCAGUGUAUGGGCUGGUUUGAGAUGAGUAAGGUGUGGGUGGGUGUGAGAGGCAAGAUGGAGGAAGCAGAAAAUCUGUCCUUCUCGAAGGUUCCCCGAGGAGCACAUUGGGAUGUUAGCAGUGUAUGAUACAUUCCCAAUGGAUUUAAGCAAAUGUGAACAUUUGAUAAUAAUAAGCAAACAACAAUAGCAGUACCUUGGCUCCUCCUAUAGGUUGAUUUGUAUUCUCUGGAAAUAUCUAUUGAAGUCCUAAUUCCCAGUACCUCAAAAAAAAAAAAAGUUACUUUAGUUGGGAAAAGAGUUUCAAAUGUUACUAGUCAAAUUAAGAUGACUUCAUACUAAUGUAUUGGGGGCCCUUUUCCUAGUGAGGUACGUAUCUGUGCAGGUAGAGGAAACUUGAACACAGAGACGCAGUGGGAAGAUGGCCACAAGAAUGUGCAAGGACACAUAGAGGGAAAGCAGCGAUUGGUGUGCUAUACUUAUCAGCCAGAGAAUGUCAAGGAUUGAUGGUCAUGAUGGGAACCUCGUGAGAGGCUGAAAAAAAAGAUGCCCUCAGAAAGUCACAGUGUGGACAGCACUCAGGCGUCUUUAUUCCCAGCUCCGGGACAGGAAGUUUCUGGGAUUUUAGUAAUCCAGUUUCAGCAGCCCCAGAAACCUCACGCCUCUUACACUCUUCUAGCUUUUUCUCUAGAACACCAUGGCCUGUGAAAACCAGCUUUGCUUCUCUGCCCAAUAUUUCCCAACCCCCUUUAUAAAAAUAAUUAAAAUAUUUUAAUAAUUAAAAUAUUUCAAAACA
rnacentral:lncRNA from 1 species